GUGGGGAAUAUUGGGCAAUGGGCGAAAGCCUGACCCAGCAACGCCGCGUGAAGGAAGAAGGUUUUCGGAUCGUAAACUUCUAUCCUUGGUGAAGAUAAUGACGGUAGCCAAGAAGGAAGCCCCGGCUAACUACGUGCCAGCAGCCGCGGUAAUACGUAGGGGGCAAGCGUUGUCCGGAAUGAUUGGGCGUAAAGGGCGCGUAGGCGGCCCGGUAAGUCUGAAGUGAAAGUCCUGCUUUUAAGGUGGGAAUUGCUUUGGAUACUGUCGGGCUUGAGUGCAGGAGAGGUAAGUGGAAUUCCCGGUGUAGCGGUGAAAUGCGUAGAGAUCGGGAGGAACACCAGUGGCGAAGGCGACUUACUGGACUGUAACUGACGCUGAGGCGCGAAAGUGUGGGGAGCAAACAGGAUUAGAUACCCGAGUAGUCC
rnacentral:rRNA from 1 species